UUUUCAAAGUCCUUCCAAUUCAAAUGGCGCUCCGAUAUCAGAGAGUGCGGACGUUUUCAAAGUUUGUCAUCCGCGGAUUUAUAGUGCGUUAGAUAAGCCAUGGAUUGUUCUUUCUCAUUGUUCCUUCUGUUUUGGAUUACAAGUGCCUAUUACUCGAAAGGAGCUCUUUUCUUACAAGUAUUUGAUACUUUACCUGAAGACAGGGAAGUAAAUCCAGGCGAGCUGAUAAUCAUACCGUGCAAAGUUCGAAAUCGUAAAGGUGAAUGUGCGUGGCUUAAAGAUGGUGUGGUUGUUGGCAAAAUACCCGGAAAGUACACAUUCAACAGAGAGCCCGAUGAUGGAAACUGCGGAAUCACUAUUACUAACACACAACUCGAAGAUGACGAUGGGUUGUGGCAAUGUCAGGUGACGCAGGCAUCCUUACAAGAGUUAACACUAACAUCACCAGAAGUCAAGUUGACUGUUAGAGAGGCACCUUAUCCACCCAUUAUAGAAGACACCACCAUCCAAAUAGUUCAAGGUGAUCCCUUUACAGCUCGAGCUAAUGAACCAAAACGUCUGCACUGUAUAGCACGUAAAGGUAACCCUCCUGCUUCACUAAAAUGGUUCAUAAACCAUGUUGAAGUAACUACUAAUGUCAACCAAACCAACAUCAGAGACGUUGAAAAGCGAAAAACAUGGCAGGCUGUUAGUGCUCUUGAUAUGACCUUCACCAAAGAAGACAAUCACAAGCUUCUGAAAUGUGUUGCUAUACACGAUGCUUAUGAUACUAAAGCUAAAGAUAUUACAGUGCAACUGGAAAUUCUGUAUCCCCCAGAAAUAAGCCUGGAAGGAAAACCAAAACAAGAAAUUGUCGAGGAUAUGUCCUUGACAUUACGUUGUAAAGCCGACGCAAAUCCGAAAGCCAAUAUCAUCUGGAGAAAAUCUGGGCAUUCUGGCAUAUACGACAUCAAGGAUCAUAUAGAGUUCAGACCCAUUCGCAGAACAGAUUCAGGAAUAUACAGCUGUUCUGCCAAGAACGAUAUUGGGCAAAGCGAAGAAAUGGAAAUCACAGUUGAUGUGAAAUUUAAACCAAAAAUAAAUCGUGUGUAUCCUGCUCCGAGAACUACAGUAAGCCUAUAUCAGAGCACCAGGCUAGUUUGUGAAGCAGAAGGCAAUCCAGCUCCAAAAUAUUCGUGGUUUCAGCGAAUAGGAGGGGAUGCAGUUGUUUGGUCAGAGCGGACAAAUAACGCUACAUUUUAUAUUCAGAACGUCACUUACAACUACCAGGGAAUUUACCUCUGCCAGGCAUCCAACACUAUCAACGGCCAAUUCAAUACAGUGAAAUCAGAAGAAAUAUUUCUUGACGUUACUGGACCGCCUCAAUUAAUGAUUGAGAAUGCCCCUUUGGUAUCACACAUGGUUGUGGACAAAGACGAAACUGCUAAGAUUAUUAUACGGUUUUGCUCAGAUCCAGAACCCAGAAGAAGUUAUUGGGAAUGGGAUUCAUUUCGACAAGAAACAAAUUCAAACACUGGAAGACACGAUGCAUCAGAAAUUCAAAAGAUACCUAAUAAAGAUGACUGCUAUGAUGCACGAUUAAUAAUUCGUAACGUUGAAGGAGGUGACUCAAAAACAUACACAUUAGUGGUUGAAAAUGAUAAAGGACAUGAAACAUUUUCCAUUGUACUUGAAGUUAGAGAGCCCUUUAUUUUGACUUUGAUGAUCGGUGGUGCAGUUGUUGUGAUAUUAAUUUUAAUCUGCCUUCUCGCUCUCCUUAUUUGCUUAGUUCGAAAAGAAAAAUGCUGUUUCAGACGUUCAGAUGGCUUUAAACCAGCUCCUGAUAGCAAAGACAGUACCUUUCUGCACCAACUCCAAUACUAAAGGUAAAAUAGCGACGAUAGGAGAAGAUCCAUAUAACAAAAAUGGUAAAAAGGCAGAUCGCAAUGACAACAGGGACGGCCUAAGUUAUGGAAGUUUAGAUUUCAGCAUUUUGGAACCCGAUCCAAGAGAGCAGACGACUGCCACAAUCAACAACAGCCGGAUAAAAGUUCAUCCUCA
rnacentral:misc_RNA from 1 species